rnacentral:tRNA from 1 species
GCCCCCUUAGCUCAGUGGACGAGAGCGCCUCGCUUCGAACGAGGAGGCCGGGAGUUCGAAUCUCUCAGGGGGCGCCA